AGAUGGAUCAUUCACGUUCUAAUGUAACGAAUUGUGUCGCUGGUGACGUCUUUCGAAGAGUAUAUACUGUGCUUUUGUUUGUGGACUUACGUGGAAUUGCUGAACUGACAGUAGUUGGUCAACCACGGUGGCUGAUGAGUGAAAACUGUAAAAUUAUUUUCUGCGAUGGAUGUCUCGGAUCUCAUAACGAUGAAGGAUGCAGCUAGCUGCAGUAUGCAGUAUGACUUGCAACUUUCUCUGAAUCAUUAGGUUUCUGAAUGCGCAUGGUACCUCUAAACUUUGUUUAGGGGUAAGUUCUCUUCAGUGCUUUGUCAAUUUCGUAAGUGCACUGCUGUGCACGUGACGUGAUUAGUGACUGUGCUAACAGUUGCUUCGCUUUCAACGGUUGCAUCUCACAAGUAAAUUUGAUAUGAGAGACUGCUACCAUGAACGCUUACAUAAAAGCCUGAAGUUGAUCUAGGUUACCCGCUGAACUUAAGCAUAUUAUUAAGCGGAGGAAAAGAAACUAACUAGGAUUUCCUGAGUAGCGGCGAGUGAACAGGAAAGAGCUCAAACUGAAAAUCGGCAGUUCGCUGUUGAAUUGUAGUCUGAUGAAGUGCAGCCUGUGGUGGUUCUGGAUUAAGUCUCUUGGAAAAGAGUGCCAUAGAGGGUGAAAGUCCCGUCUUUGUCCAGAAUUACUUACGUUCGGUGCAUUUUCCAAGAGUCGCGUUCCUCGAGAUUGGAGCGCAAAGAGGGUGAUAAAUUUCAUCUAAAGCUAAAUACCAAUGAGUUUCCGAUAGUUUACAAGUACCGUGAGGGAAAGAUGAAAAGGACUUUGAAAAGAGAGUUAAAAGGAACUGAAAUUGCUGAAAGAGAAGUGGAGAGAAGCUACGGCUUAGUGGGUCACGGUGUCCACUUAGGUUAUCGUUGACCUAUGUUGGAUUCUAGUGGCCUGCGGUUACUUUGGAAAUGAUUGUCACUUUUAACUAAGGUGCCUGAGAUGUUUCUUCGGAAGCACUUUAAUGCUGGUCUUAACUAUGGCAAUUCCCUACCUAGAAGUGCAUUCAAUUUGCUCUUCUACGUUAUUCCAAAGAUGUUGCUUCUCUCCGUCCCGUCUUGAAACACGGACCAAGGAGUCUAACUUGUAUGCGAGUAUAGGGGAGGGCAAUCCCGCGUGCGAAGUGAAAGCAAGAGUCAGGAUGGUUAGCUUGAACUGACACCCAGCUAUCAGGCUGCGGCUGAGCAUACAGGGUAGGACCCGAAAGAUGGUGAACUAUGCCUGAGUAGGGUGAAGCCAGGGGAAACUCUGGUGGAGGUCCGUAGCGAUACUGACGUGCAAAUCGUUCGUCAAACUUGGGUAUAGGGGCGAAAGACUAAUCGAACCAUCUAGUAGCUGGUUCUCUC
rnacentral:misc_RNA from 1 species